UACGUAGGGUGCGAGCGUUGUCCGGAAUUAUUGAGCGUAAAGAGCUUGUAGGUGGCUCGUUGCGUCGGGAGUGAAAACCUGCGGCUUAACCGCAGGCCUGCUUCCGAUACGGGCGAGCUAGAGUUCGGCAGGGGAGACUGGAAUUCCUGGUGUAGCGGUGGAAUGCGCAGAUAUCAGGAGGAACACCGGUGGCGAAGGCGGGUCUCUGGGCCGAUACUGACACUGAGAAGCGAAAGCGUGGGGAGCGAACAGG
rnacentral:rRNA from 1 species